GCAAAACGCGAAGAACCUUACCAGGUCUUGACAUCCCGGUGACCACUAUGGAGACAUAGUUUCCCCUUCGGGGGCAACGGUGACAGGUGGUGCAUGGUUGUCGUCAGCUCGUGUCGUGAGAUGUUGGGUUAAGUCCCGCAACGAGCGCAACCCUUAUUCUUAGUUGCCAUCAUUCAGUUGGGCACUCUAAGGAGACUGCCGGUGAUAAACCGGAGGAAGGUGGGGAUGACGUCAAAUCAUCAUGCCCCUUAUGACCUGGGCUACACACGUGCUACAAUGGACGGUACAAACGGUUGCCAACCCGCGAGGGGGAGCUAAUCCGAUAAAACCGUUCUCAGUUCGGAUUGUAGGCUGCAACUCGCCUACAUGAAGCCGGAAUCGCUAGUAAUCGCGGAUCAGCAUGCCGCGGUGAAUACGUUCCCGGGUCUUGUACACACCG
rnacentral:rRNA from 1 species